GCAUAUCAAUAAGCGGAGGAAAAGAAACCAACAGGGAUUGCCCCAGUAACGGCGAGUGAAGCGGCAACAGCUCAAAUUUGAAAUCUGGCCCCCCAGGGCCCGAGUUGUAAUUUGUAGAGGAUGCUUUUGGCGCGGUGCCUUCCGAGUUCCCUGGAACGGGACGCCAUAGAGGGUGAGAGCCCCGUCUGGUUGGACACCUAGCCUCUGUAAAGCUCCUUCGACGAGUCGAGUAGUUUGGGAAUGCUGCUCUAAAUGGGAGGUAUAUGUCUUCUAAAGCUAAAUACCGGCCAGAGACCGAUAGCGCACAAGUAGAGUGAUCGAAAGAUGAAAAGCACUUUGAAAAGAGGGUUAAAUAGUACGUGAAAUUGUUGAAAGGGAAGCGUUUGUGACCAGACUUGGGCCCGGUUGAUCAUCCACCGUUCUCGGUGGUGCACUCUGCCGGCCCAGGCCAGCAUCAGUUCGCGCCGGGGGAUAAAGGCUUCGGGAAUGUGGCUCCUCCGGGAGUGUUAUAGCCCGUUGUGUAAUACCCUGGUGCGGACUGAGGUUCGCGCUCCGCAAGGAUGCUGGCGUAAUGGUCAUCAGCGACCCGUCUUGAAACACGGACCAAGGAGUCGUCUUCGUAUGCGAGUGUUCGGGUGUCAAACCCCUACGCGUAAUGAAAGUGAACGCAGGUGAGAGCUUCGGCGCAUCAUCGACCGAUCCUGAUGUUCUCGGAUGGAUUUGAGUAAGAGCAUACGGGGCCGGACCCGAAAGAAGGUGAACUAUGCCUGUAUAGGGUGAAGCCAGAGGAAACUCUGGUGGAGGCUCGCAGCGGUUCUGACGUGCAAAUCGAUCGUCAAAUAUGGGCAUGGGGGGCGAAAGACUAAUCGAACCUUCUAGUAGCUGGGUUUCCGCCGAAG
rnacentral:rRNA from 2 species